CUUAUACAACUUUCAACAACGGAUCUCUUGGCUCUCGCAUCGAUGAAGAACGCAGCGAAAUGCGAUAACUAAUGUGAAUUGCAGAAUUCAGUGAAUCAUCGAGUCUUUGAACGCACCUUGCGCCCUUUGGUAUUCCAAAGGGCAUGCCUGUUAGAGUGUCAUUAA
rnacentral:rRNA from 1 species